GUCUCUGGCCGUGCCACCCUGAAUGCGCCCGAUCCCGUCUGAUCUUAGAAGCUAAGCAUGGUCGGGCCUGGUUAGUACUUGGAUGGGAGACCAACUAGGAAGACCAGGUGCCGUAGGCA
rnacentral:rRNA from 1 species